GUAUUGCGUGAUGGAUCCCUGCUCGGGCAGCGACAUCACCUGAUCCGYGCCUCUUCAGUUGUUGGCGCGAGCACGUGCUCGGCCGGUGUUGGUUUUCCUGUGCUGGAUACCCGUAUCGCGGCAUCGAUCGUCGGUUGGAAAGUCCCUCAGCCCCCUCGUGCUGCUGCCCCUCGCGGGCAAGCGGCGCGGGGAGGCCCAUGUAGCGCACGCCGCGCGUCCCAUCCCGUCCGCCCCGUAAGAAGGGCGUCCGGGCUGACGAUCCGCGGCUUGAUGCUCGGUCCCUUGGGUACGGAACGUCGCGUGGGGUACGGGGCCGUCGGCCUCGGAGCACCACAAACAAGCGUUCUACGCUUCGUGCGGACGACCGUCGGCCCGGUCUCUGUCCGGCCCUCGUGGCUCGGAUCAGGACCGUGCCGRCGUCGGUGAGGAAUGCUACCU
rnacentral:misc_RNA from 1 species